GAUGAACGCUGGCGGCGUGCCUAAUACAUGCAAGUCGAGCGAACAGACGAGGAGCUUGCUCCUCUGACGUUAGCGGCGGACGGGUGAGUAACACGUGGAUAACCUACCUAUAAGACUGGGAUAACUUCGGGAAACCGGAGCUAAUACCGGAUAAUAUAUUGAACCGCAUGGUUCAAUAGUGAAAGACGGUUUUGCUGUCACUUCUAGAUGGAUCCGGGCGGCAUUAGCUAGUUGGUAAGUUAACGGCUUACCAAGGGGACGAGGCGUAGCCGACCGGAGAGGGGGGUAGGCCACCCUAGAACUGAGACACGGUCCAGACGCCUACGGGAGGCAGCAGAAGGGAAUCUUCCGCAAUGGGCGAAAGCCUGACGGAACAGGGCGGCGUGAGUGAUGAAGGUCUUGGGAGCGUAAAACUCUGUUUUGAGGUAAAAACAAAUGUGGAAGGAGCUAUGCACGUCUUGACGGUACCUAAUAAAAAAGCCCCGGCUAACUACGUG
rnacentral:rRNA from 1 species